rnacentral:rRNA from 1 species
ACGAACGCUGGCGGCGUGCUUAACACAUGCAAGUCGAACGGUGAAGCAGAGCUUGCUCUGUGGAUCAGUGGCGAACGGGUGAGUAACACGUGAGUAACCUGCCCUUGACUCUGGGAUAAGCGUUGGAAACGACGUCUAAUACCGGAUACGAGCUGAGACCGCGUGGUCAUCAGUUGGAAAGAUUUUUUGGUCAAGGAUGGACUCGCGGCCUAUCAGCUUGUUGGUGAGGUAAUGGCUCACCAAGGCGACGACGGGUAGCCGGCCUGAGAGGGUGACCGGCCACACUGGGACUGAGACACGGCCCAGACUCCUACGGGAGGCAGCAGUGGGGAAUAUUGCACAAUGGGCGCAAGCCUGAUGCAGCAACGCCGCGUGAGGGAUGACGGCCUUCGGGUUGUAAACCUCUUUUAGUAGGGAAGAAGCGAAAGUGACGGUACCUGCAGAAAAAGCACCGGCUAACUACGUG